rnacentral:lncRNA from 1 species
UCAUGGCGCCCUCUUGUCCUCUUCCCCUAGCAUUUUUCUAACAAAUCAGCGACACAAAUUCAAAUUUCUGGGUACCAUUACGUACAUUUCAGUAACAAGAAUGGGUGCCAUUACAUACGUUUGAGUAACAAGAAACCGUAAAAACAUAAAGUAUGCCUUGCCUGUACAUGGAUAACACGGGACACAAUGAUACAAAACCUAGGAAAAAUGUUAGGCAAAUCCCCUCUAAUAAACAGACAAAUGUGCUUAUCUCUAGACUCCACUAAAAAUAGAAACCAAGGUGCAGCGUACGCUGUAUUUCAUCGUCACUCUCUCAUUUUCAGUCAUGCUUCCUGUCCCUGCUACCUUUGUCUCUGUCUUCGUUAAUCCUUGCAGCCGGCGACCUCGAGCGAUCCCUUGAUGAGCUGCUCAACCCGCCAGGCAAACGGCUCCGCGGUGCCACAGAGAGCACUGGUCUGCAUGCAUACAACAUUCAGAUGAGAUACCAUCUUAAAUGGUUGGUACAAACCAAAAACUACCUCUGAAAAUCAAGACAUGGCAUUACGAUUUCAGAAGAAAAGUAGAAGCAGUUUCUCCCAUCAUAGUGCUGGACUACAGGCUUUCCCCUCCCGUUGCAGGCAACAUCAAUUUGGAGAAGAUUCAAGCAUGAAUUUCGUGCUUAGGCCUCGGACAGGUCGCCGCUUAGGCUUUGGCAGGUCGCUGAUAGCACGAGGUGAGUGGUCAUGGUGGCAACGCACAAGAGGAGAGGCGGGAUCCAAUGCGAACUUACUGCUACUGCCAGGAUUAGUCUUCGACGGCGACGUCGCGCAAGGAUGCCGGCCUGCUGGCGACGCGCAAGAGGAGAGGCGGGAUCCAACGCGAACUUCUCGUAGGGGGCUAGUGUGGAGGUUCGGCCACUAGAGGGGCGUCGGGGAUGGGAGGGCGCCCGAGGCGCAUCAGAACGGGUGGCGGGCGGCCGGAGGCGCGGCGGGAAGCGCGUUGGGCCGUGGGGGCCGGCGGCAGGAGGCCCGGCGGGGUGGUAGC